rnacentral:rRNA from 1 species
GAUGAACGCUGGCGGCGUGCUUAACACAUGCAAGUCGAGCGAGAAGACUUUGACAGAUCCUUCGGGUGAUGGAAAAGUUGGAAAGCGGCGGACGGGUGAGUAACGCGUGGGCAACCUGCCCCAUACAGGAGGAUAGCCACUGGAAACGGUGAUUAAUACUCCAUAAGACCACAGCACCACAUGGUGCAGAGGUAAAAACUCCGGUGGUAUGGGAUGGGCCCGCGUCUGAUUAGCUAGUUGGUAAGGUAACGGCUUACCAAGGCGACGAUCAGUAGCCGACCUGAGAGGGUGAUCGGCCACACUGGAACUGAGACACGGUCCAGACUCCUACGGGAGGCAGCAGUGGGGAAUAUUGCACAAUGGGCGAAAGCCUGAUGCAGCAACGCCGCGUGAACGAUGAAGGCCUUCGGGUUGUAAAGUUCUUUUCUUGGAGAAGAAUAACUGACGGUAUCCAAGGAAUAAGCCCCGGCUAACUACGUGCCAGCAGCCGCGGUAAUACGUAGGGGGCAAGCGUUAUCCGGAAUCACUGGGCGUAAAGGGAGUGUAGGCGGUCAAGCAAGUCAGAGGUGAAAGGCAUCGGCUCAACCGGUGUAAGCCUUUGAAACUGUUUGACUUGAGUGCAGGA